CCUACGGGAGGCAGCAGUGGGGAAUUUUGGACAAUGGGCGCAAGCCUGAUCCAGCCAUGCCGCGUGUGGGAAGAAGGCCUUCGGGUUGUAAACCACUUUUGUCAGGGAAGAAACGGUCUGAUCUAAUACAUUGGGCUAAUGACGGUACCUGAAGAAUAAGCACCGGCUAACUACGUGCCAGCAGCCGCGGUAAUACGUAGGGUGCAAGCGUUAAUCGGAAUUACUGGGCGUAAAGCGUGCGCAGGCGGCUUUGCAAGACAGAUGUGAAAUCCCCGGGCUCAACCUGGGAACUGCAUUUGUGACUGCAUGGCUAGAGUACGGUAGAGGGGGAUGGAAUUCCGCGUGUAGCAGUGAAAUGCGUAGAUAUGCGGAGGAACACCGAUGGCGAAGGCAAUCCCCUGGACCUGUACUGACGCUCAUGCACGAAAGCGUGGGGAGCAAACAGGAUUAGAUACCCUGGUAGUCCACGCCCUAAACGAUGUCAACUGGUUGUUGGACGGCUUGCUGUUCAGUACGAAGCUAACGCGUGAAGUUGACCGCCUGGGGAGUACGGCCGCAAGGUUGAAACGUCAAAGGAAUUGACGG
rnacentral:rRNA from 1 species